rnacentral:rRNA from 1 species
GAUUAAGCCAUGCAUGUGUAAGUGUAAAUGUACUAGUUUGGAACUGCGAAUGGCUCAUUAUAUCAGUUAUAGUUUAUUUGGUGAAGUGUACUACUUGGAUAACCGUAGUAAUUCUAGGGCUAAUACAUGAGAAAGUCCUCUGGUGAGGUGUGUUUAUUAGAAUGAAAACCAUAUGCUUCGGCAUGAUAGUGAGUAAUAGUAACCUAUCGUAUCGCAUGCUUAAUGUAGCGAUGAGUCUUUCAAGUUUCUGCCCUAUCAGCUUUCGAUGGUAGUAUAUGGGCCUACCAUG